GGGGGGAUGGCGCAGUGGUAAGGCGCUCUCCUGGCCGGUCUGCAGGACUGCACCACCUGUAGGCAGUGGGUUCGAAUCCCGCUCCCCCCA